rnacentral:rRNA from 1 species
AACCUCCGCAAUGUGAGAAAUCGCGACGGGGGGAUCCCAAGUGCCAUUCUUAACGGGAUGGCUUUUCAUUAGUGUAAAGAGCUUUUGGAAUAAGAGCUGGGCAAGACCGGUGCCAGCCGCCGCGGUAACACCGGCAGCUCUAGUGGUAACAAUUUUUAUUGGGCCUAAAGCGUCCGUAGCCGGUUUAAUAAGUCUCUGGUGAAAUCCUGUAGCUUAACUGUGGGAAUUGCUGGUGAUACUGUUGAACUUGAGGUCGGGAGAGGUUAGCGGUACUCCCAGGGUAGAGGUGAAAUUCUGUAAUCCUGGGAGGCCACCUGUUGCGAAGGCGUCUAACUGGAACGUACUGACGGUGAGGGACGAAAGUUAGGGGCGCGAACCGGAUUAGAUACCCGGGUAGUCCUAACUGUAAACGAUGCGGACUUGGUGUUGGGGUGGCUUUGAGCUGCUUCAGUGCCGAAGGGAAGCUGUUAAGUCCGCCGCCUGGGAAGUACGGUCGCAAGACUGAAACUUAAAGGAAUU